GACGAACGCUGGCGGCGUGCUUAACACAUGCAAGUCGAACGGAAAGGCCCUGCUUUUGUGGGGUGCUCGAGUGGCGAACGGGUGAGUAACACGUGAGUAACCUGCCCUUGACUUUGGGAUAACUUCAGGAAACUGGGGCUAAUACCGGAUAGGAGCUCCUGCUGCAUGGUGGGGGUUGGAAAGUUUCGGCGGUUGGGGAUGGACUCGCGGCUUAUCAGCUUGUUGGUGGGGUAGUGGCUUACCAAGGCUUUGACGGGUAGCCGGCCUGAGAGGGUGACCGGCCACAUGGGGACUGAGAUACGGCCCAGACUCGUACGGGAGGCAGCUGUGGGGAAUAUGGCACAAUGGGCGGAAGCCUGAUGCAGCAACGCCGCGUGCGGGAUGACGGCCUUCGGGUUGUAAACCGCUUUCGCCUGUGACGAAGCGUGAGUGACGGUAAUGGGUAAAGAAGCACCGGCUAACUACGUG
rnacentral:rRNA from 1 species